rnacentral:rRNA from 1 species
UACGUAGGUGGCAAGCGUUGUCCGGAAUUAUUGGGCGUAAAGCGCGCGCAGGCGGUCCUUUAAGUCUGAUGUGAAAGCCCACGGCUCAACCUCGGGCCUGCAGUCGAUACGGGCAGACUAGAGUUCGGUAGGGGAGACUGGAAUUCCUGGUGUAGCGGUGAAAUGCGCAGAUAUCAGGAGGAACACCUAUUGCGAAGGCAGCUCGCUGGGACGUUACUGACGCUGAGACGCGAAAGCGUGGGGAGCAAACAGG